UGGGGAAUCUUGCGCAAUGGCCGAAAGGCUGACGCAGCGACGCCGCGUGGGGGAUGAAGGUUUUCGGAUCGUAAACCCCUGUUGCCCGGGACGAAACUCCUUUUUCGAGAGGAUUGACGGUACCGGGUGAGGAAGCACCGGCUAACUCCGUGCCAGCAGCCGCGGUAAUACGGAGGGUGCGAGCGUUGUCCGGAAUCACUGGGCGUAAAGGGCGCGUAGGCGGUUGGGGAAGUCCGUGGUGAAAGCUCGUGGCUCAACUACGAGUCGGCCAUGGAUACUCCUUGACUUGAGCACUGUAGAGGCAGAUGGAAUUCCGGGUGUAGCGGUGGAAUGCGUAGAGAUCCGGAAGAACACCGGUGGCGAAGGCGGUCUGCUGGGCAGUUGCUGACGCUGAGGCGCGACAGCGUGGGGAGCAAACA
rnacentral:rRNA from 1 species